rnacentral:rRNA from 1 species
AGCGCAGGCGGUGAUUUAAGUCUGAUGUGAAAGCCCACGGCUCAACCGUGGAAGGUCAUUGGAAACUGGAUCACUUGAGUGCAGAAGAGGAAAGUGGAAUUCCAUGUGUAGCGGUGAAAUGCGUAGAUAUAUGGAGGAACACCAGUGGCGAAGGCGACUUUCUGGUCUGUAACUGACGCUGAGGCUCGAAAGCAUGGGGAGCAAACA